rnacentral:rRNA from 1 species
CCUACGGGAGGCAGCAGUGAGGAAUAUUGGUCAAUGGACGAGAGUCUGAACCAGCCAAGUAGCGUGAAGGAUGACUGCCCUAUGGGUUGUAAACUUCUUUUAUAUGGGAAUAAAAUGUUCCACGUGUGGGAUUUUGUAUGUACCAUAUGAAUAAGGAUCGGCUAACUCCGUGCCAGCAGCCGCGGUAAUACGGAGGAUCCGAGCGUUAUCCGGAUUUAUUGGGUUUAAAGGGAGCGUAGGUGGAUUGUUAAGUCAGUUGUGAAAGUUUGCGGCUCAACCGUAAAAUUGCAGUUGAAACUGGCAGUCUUGAGUACAGUAGAGGUGGGCGGAAUUCGUGGUGUAGCGGUGAAAUGCUUAGAUAUCACGAAGAACUCCGAGUGCGAAGGCAGUUCACUGGACUGCAACUGACACUGAGGCUCGAAAGUGUGGGUAUCAAACAAGAUUAGAUACCCCGGUAGUC